rnacentral:rRNA from 1 species
UACGUAGGGUGCGAGCGUUUGUCCGGAAUUAUUGGGCGUAAAGAGCUGUAGGCGGUUUGUCGCGUCUGCUGUGAAAACGCGAGGCUCAACCUCGCGCCUGCAGUGGGUACGGGCAGACUAGAGUGCGGUAGGGGAGAUUGGAAUUCCUGGUGUAGCGGUGGAAUGCGCAGAUAUCAGGAGGAACACCGAUGGCGAAGGCAGAUCUCUGGGCCGUUACUGACGCUGAGGAGCGAAAGCGUGGGGAGCGAACAGG